rnacentral:rRNA from 1 species
GGCGAGUGAAGCGGCAACAGCUCAAAUUUGAAAUCUGGCCUCGGCCCGAGUUGUAAUUUGCAGAGGAUGCUUUUGGUGCGGUGCCUUCCGAGUUCCCUGGAACGGGACGCCACAGAGGGUGAGAGCCCCGUAUGGUCGGACACCAAUCCUGUGUAAAGCUCCUUCGACGAGUCGAGUAGUUUGGGAAUGCUGCUCUAAAUGGGAGGUAAAUCUCUUCUAAAGCUAAAUACCGGCCAGAGACCGAUAGCGCACAAGUAGAGUGAUCGAAAGAUGAAAAGCACCUUGAAAAGGGGGUUAAACAGUACGUGAAAUUGUUGAAAGGGAAGCACUUGUGACCAGACUUGGGCCGGGCGGCUCAUCAGGGGUUCUCCCCUGUGCAUUCCGCCCGGUACAGGCCAGCAUCGGUUCUUACCGGGGGAUAAGAACGGCAGGAACGUGGCUCCCCCUCGGGGGAGUGUUAUAGCCUGCCGUACGAUACCCUGGCGGGGACCGAGGUUCGCGCUUCCGCAAGGAUGCUGGCGUAAUGGUUACUAGUGACCCGUCUUGAAACACGGACCAAGGAGUCGUCCAUUAGAGCGAGCGUUUGGGUGUAAAACCCGCACGCGUAAUGAAAGUGAAAUUAGGUGAGAGCUUCGGCGCAUCAUCGACCGAUCCUGAUGUUCUCGGAUGGAUUUGAGUAAGAGUUUUAACGGACGGACCCGAAAGACAGUGAACUAUGCUUGUAUAGGGUGAAGCCAGAGGAAACUCUGGUGGAGGCUCGCAGCGGUUCUGACGUGCAAAUCGAUCGUCAAAUAUGA